rnacentral:lncRNA from 1 species
AUGUCGCUGGUUCUCAGCCACAAUUUGAGUAGCAAGAGCCCUGGACAACUUUCAGGAAGACAGUUCUGGUCUGUAGCAAUUAACACAUGGUCAUCCUCAGAAAAAGGUCCUCUCAAUUAUUUCCCAGAGAUACCCAUAACUUAAAAUGCAGGAACCAAGAGAUUUGAGCCUAGACAUUUGGAUGAAAAGCGAUUUCCACCUGGAGAAAGUCACUGCCCUUCUGUGCAGAGUACCAUUGUGUCUUGAAUCCAGCUUGGCCAUAAGGAAAUGGGGCGAGACUUUGUCAUGUAUGUCGCUGAAGUUCAGCUAUGCAAAAAUGUUCACCUAUCCUUGAUCAACCAGUCCAGGAACCAUCAAAGAAGAAAAUGAGAUUCGACUUAGAAGACCUGUUCUUUAUAAACCCCUGCACAGCCCUAAUGAUCAACACCACUUCCAGUGCUCAUAAAUUACUGCUUCAAUAAUUGUUCUGC